rnacentral:rRNA from 1 species
UGGGGAAUAUUGGUCAAUGGGCGAAAGCCUGAACCAGCAAUGCCGUGUGAGUGAUGAAGGCCUUCGGGUUGUAAAGCUCUGUCGGUGGGAACGAAUAAGCCGAUUAAUACUCGGUGAUGACGGUACCCGCAAAGGAAGCACCGGCUAACUCUGUGCCAGCAGCCGCGGUAAUACAGAGGGUGCAAGCGUUGUUCGGAAUUACUGGGCGUAAAGCGCGUGUAGGCGGCUUGGUAAGUCGGUCGUGAAAUCCCUUGGCUUAACCAAGGAACUGCGAUCGAAACUGCUGAGCUUGAGUAUCGGAGGGGAUGGCGGAAUUCCUGGUGUAGAGGUGAAAUUCGUAGAUAUCAGGAGGAACACCCGUGGCGAAGGCGGCCAUCUGGAAGAUUACUGACGCUGAGAC